rnacentral:rRNA from 1 species
GAUCCUGGCUCAGGAUGAACGCUGGCGGCAUGCCUAAUACAUGAAGCCUAGCGAUUGUAAAGUUAGUGGCGGACGGGUGAGUAACGCGUGAAUAACCUGCCCUGUACCGGGGGGCAACAGUUGGAAACGGCUGCUAAUACCGCAUAAGCGCACGGUUCCGCAUGGAACAGUGUGAAAAACUCCGGUGGUACAGGAUGGAUUCGCGUCUGAUUAGCCAGUUGGUGGGGUAACGGCCUACCAAAGCAACGA